UUUGAAAAAUAAUACUUUUUUUUAACAGUAUCAUCAUUAUUUCAGAUAUGCGUCCAACAACCAAGAAUAUUGUGGCACACGAUGCCUCAAACAUCUUGAAUCGUGAAGCGAACUACUUCUGGUGUAGCCGAAAAGCGAAUCAAGAAAGUGGGACACAGACACAGUAUGUGAGAGCUUAGCUAUCUGCAUUAGCUGACCAAAUAUCGGAGAUACUGAUUUUUUUUUUAUUCGAAUGACCACCGAAUGAAAAACCAUCAACAAAACGAAGAAGAAAAAAGGAUUAUAGUCGGAUGCCCCAUAUCACCAACGAAGGUGAAACCCCAACGACUACGUUAGCGAUUAAAGCUGUUUUCCUUUUUUCGUUUAAUUCAGUAAACCAAGGAUAAUUUUUUUCCGGAUAAAGUUCUAUUCGUUUAUACAGCAGGUGCCAAAAAUAUCCGAACACUUCGUGUUUUCGGACCAUUUUAGCAUGGAUUCAAAUGACGGAGCGCGCUUAGCGCGAUUGAGAAAAAGGGGUAAAAAAUCCACCUAAGUCCAUGAAGAUAAUUUUGUGACCUAAUAAUAGACUAAGGUAUCUAAAAAAAAAUUUUUUUUAAUUUUUAUGACUUGUAGCCGCUCGCCGGCAUAUCAGUGCAUAAUUAUCCGAACGCGGGUUUUUCCGCCGUGCUUCCUUAUGGCACUACGUGUCUUCUUUAUUAUUUUUUUUAAAUAUACUAAAUAUAAUACUAUCAAAGACUAACUAGGCUUUUUAUGUGUUAAAAUACGUAAUCUACUCAUUCCGGCCACUUGUUAUGCUAAAACUUAAAUCCCUUUUUGGUAAUUAAUUUUCCCGUGGCCGGCUCUCCUUCUUUGUAAGGAAAAAUGAACUGCGUUGUAAAAGGGUGUCAUCAUACCCAGGGCCUAAGACAACGAAAAAUAUUGUGUUACAUUGAAAAAAGUUAACAGUAGGCUAUAUUUUUCCAACAAUUUAGACUGUCUUCUAUUUUAAACUCAAUAGAUUGUCAAACCCAGUCGCUUGUAUAAAUCAAGUUCAAAGUCGACGAGACGACUAUCAUGCUGUUGAGUCUCAUAACUCGAGAAAUACGAUUAAUGUAUAAACCGGUCCCACAAGUGCAAUCCAGCAUUGAAGAAUGCAGAAGUCAUUUUUGAUCUCGGCCCGUCGUUUUCUUUUAAAACAUCAUAGAGCUAUCUUUGCGCUUGGUGAAAUUAAGUGAUUUUAAACAGCAUGCGUUAUUUUAUUUAUUGGGUUCGCUUGGGGCUUAAAGUAAUUUCAAAGCGGGAGUUUUUGUAACUGUAUAUUUUACCACUAUAGAGAAUAUAAUUGGCUAUCGUUAGACGAUGUCAAACAAAUGUAUCUUUGUUGUUUGUUUUUCUUUUUUUUUUUGCCUUUUUUGCGUUGUUUUUUGUUUUGUUUUUUUGUUUUUUUCUAAUUUUUUUUGGUUUUUUUUUGCAUGCGGCACUUCAUUUUUGUAGUCAUCGAGAGAUGGUGGCAAAAUGAAAUCUUUGACGAAACUGCAUGUGAAACAAACAGAAUAAUAAAAAUGCUAACAAAUACCGGGGAAUAAAGAUAGACGCUAAAAAUGUUGCAUAAAUCAAGUAUUGAAAAGAUAUAGAGGGGUGAACACGAGAUUAU